rnacentral:rRNA from 1 species
AUUGAACGCUGGCGGAAUGCUUUACACAUGCAAGUCGAACGGCAGCACGGGGGCAACCCUGGUGGCGAGUGGCGAACGGGUGAGUAAUACAUCGGAACGUGCCCAGUCGUGGGGGAUAACGUAGCGAAAGCUACGCUAAUACCGCAUACGAUCUACGGAUGAAAGCGGGGGAUCGCAAGACCUCGCGCGAUUGGAGCGGCCGAUGGCAGAUUAGGUAGUUGGUGGGGUAAAGGCUCACCAAGCCUUCGAUCUGUAGCUGGUCUGAGAGGACGACCAGCCACACUGGGACUGAGACACGGCCCAGACUCCUACGGGAGGCAGCAGUGGGGAAUUUUGGACGAUGGGCGAAAGCCUGAUCCAGCCAUUCCGCGUGCAGGAUGAAGGCCCUCGGGUUGUAAACUGCUUUUGUACGGAACGAAACGGCCUUUUCUAAUACAGAGGGCUAAUGACGGUACCGUAAGAAUAAGCACCGGCUAACUACGUG